UACGGAGGGGGCUAGCGUUGUUCGGAAUUACUGGGCGUAAAGCGCACGUAGGCGGCUUUGCAAGUUAGAGGUGAAAGCCCCGGGCUCAACCUGGGAACUGCAUUUGAGACUGCUCUGCUCGGGUGCGGAAGAGGGAAGCGGAAUUUCCGGUGUAGCGGUGAAAUGCGUAGAUAUCGGAAGGAACACCAGUGGCGAAAGCGGCUUCCUGGUCCGACACCGACGUUCAGGCACGAAAGCGUGGGGAGCAAACAGG
rnacentral:rRNA from 1 species